rnacentral:lncRNA from 1 species
UUUAAAAUAAUUUUUCAUAAUUUAUUUGGUAUUUUUAAUAAUUAAAAACUAAUUUUUCUAAUUUUUAAAUUAAUUUCCGGAAAAUCAGAAAUUAAAAUAAUUAAAACUGUCGCUAAAGGCCCCUAUAGUGACAGAACCGUCGCUAUAGGUGUUCUUGAGCCUACCCAGAUCUUCAUAAGGCAGAACCGAGUGGCCUACUUUGACCGUGAAUAACUCUCUAAUCUUAACGAAUUUGGACAAUAUAUAAAUUGGGUCUUGUAGAGAAAAUACAAGACUACAAGAUCCAACAAAUAUGACCUCUAAAAAAUAUCAGAUCCGGGAGAAAUCGAACCUCAAAGUAGCUGCCAAAGCUGUUCUUCACGAAAAACAGCUUCGAGGUGCCUACUUUGGACCUCUAUAACUUGGUUAUCGUGUAACAUUUUUGUUCUCUAUCACUUUCAGUGUGUCGACAACAUGUAGGAAUACAACUUCAAACCUUAACAUCAACAUAAUACCAUCAUAUCUAACCAGAAAUACCCAGUCAAAGUGCACCACGGAAAUUGUGCACAAAAUUUCUGGAUUCGCGAUUUUGGCAGUUUUGGUCAACGGGGUUUUGACCGUUU